AAGUUUUCCUGUUGAGAGUUCCGUUUUUUUUCACGUUUCAAGAUUGAUUUGUUUAUAUUUAUUUAUGUAUGCUGUGCUUAGUAAAUAUUAAUAGUUUGCAAUUCAAUUUUAACCUACGAAGAAAGGCAUUUAUGGAUCAUUGGAUUACUCUCCAUUAUCGCGCACACAAAAGAAGAUUCGGUGGAUCAAUACAUUUUAGAGGAUAGCUAUAUUUCUGGCUAUUCAAAUAACGUUAAAGACUCGCCAGUAGGAUGGCGCCCAGUUAUUAUAAAUAUAACCGACUGCUUGUACAAGUCUGCGUUAAGGUUUCUGCAAUGUUCCACUGAACCAAACAACACACAUGGCAUUGCACUACUAGACCCUCUGGACUUUUAUUUGGACCAGCUGGCUGAAAGGAAAACCAUCAGACUUAACGGAGUUAUCAACGGCACAAUUUUGGAACUAUCUAAACUGGAUAUAAACUACGUCAUCGUCACUGUGCCUUCUUUCUACGCUAAGAUAAUUGGAAACAUUCCAAGACUUACAGUUUCGGGAAUUCACGAUGUUACUGGUCUUUUAGCUGGAGUUCUUCCAGUUUACGGGUCUGGUCCAUACAGCAUUGAACUGUAUAACACUAGUGUAACCAUUUCCAUGGGGCUAAGAACAUACCAAAAUGGGAGUUUCUACAUGUCAACCUUCGAUGUAGAUUUUUCACCAAAAGAAAUUAAGGUUUCUCUUGAACACCUUCUAGGAGGAGGCUCUCUGGGUGCAACAGUUCAGGAUUUCCUACAGGACGCCGCAAAGCAGAUCCUCGCCCGGAGUCGUCCCCAAAUUAAGGAAGACCUCCGCAGGACCGUCAUCUCCGCAGCCAAUCCAAGACUAGUCGUACUAAAUGGCGUUUCCGACCUAGUAAGCUUUUUUGUCAAGUUUAGCAACGUCCCUGCGAAUACUUGUUGAUGAAUCGUAAACUAUUUUUGUCCUUACAUAAGGAACUGAUAGCUCCAGUGAAAUAUUUUAAUACUAUGUUUUAAUCUUUUACAUCAUAUUUCUCAGUUAUUAUCGGUCCUUAGAUAAAAUCGUAUUACUUUU